rnacentral:tRNA from 1 species
GGGAAAGCCAUAAAGGUUAUGGAAUUGACUUGAAAUUAAUCUUAGGGAGUUCAAUUCCUCCCUUUCUUA